ACCUUCUUAUUUAAGCUCUGUGCUAAAAUAGCAGAACCUAGUAUCGUGUCUAUGUAUAGUAUUUGUAGUAAAGCUAGCAGAGUAAACGUAAGAAGGAAAAUAAUGGUAUCAGGUAGUAGAAAAACUAAGAUUAACUUUUUUUUUUAAGUCCAGGGUAUUUUAUUCUUAGAUUAGAUACAAUAAUA